UGGGGAAUAUUGCGCAAUGGCCGAAAGGCUGACGCAGCGACGCCGCGUGUGGGAGGAAGCCCUUCGGGGUGUAAACCACUGUCAGGAGGGACGAACCCCGGACGGGCGAAUAGCCCGGACGGCUGACGGUACCUCCAAAGGAAGCACCGGCUAACUCCGUGCCCGCAGCCGCGGUAAGACGGAGGGUGCAAGCGUUGUUCGGAAUUACUGGGCGUAAAGCGCGGGCAGGUGGUCUUUUAAGUCCUUUGUGAAAUCCCGGGGCUCAACUCCGGAUGGGCAUGGGAUAGUGGAAGACUGGAGACUGGUAGAGGCGAGCGGAAUUCCUGGUGUAGCGGUGGAAUGCGUAGAUAUCAGGAAGAACACCGGUGGCGAAGGCGGCUCGCUGGGCCAGUUCUGACACUCAUCCGCGAAAGCGUGGGGAGCAA
rnacentral:rRNA from 1 species